rnacentral:rRNA from 1 species
CUACGGAGGGUGCAAGCGUUAUUCGGAAUCACUGGGCGUAAAGCGCGCGCAGGCGGGCUGAUAAGUUGGAUGUGAAAGCCUACGGCUCAACCGUAGAACUGCAUCCAAAACUGUCAGUCUAGAGUCUGGGAGGGGAAGAUGGAAUUAGUUGUGUAGGGGUAAAAUCCGUAGAGAUAACUAGGAAUACCAAAAGCGAAGGCGAUCUUCUGGAACAGUACUGACGCUGAGGCGCGAAAGCGUGGGGAGCAAACAGGAUUAGAAACCCCAGUAGUCC